rnacentral:lncRNA from 1 species
UUAAGAUCCCAUAAGAUGCACAGUGGAACCAAAAACAAAAAAUAUAUAUCCUUUAUCACUGAGGGAAAAAAAAAAACGUUUGUAAUAAAGAAAUUUUUUAACAAUUUUUGAUUAAUGAAAUAUAGCAUUCAAGACAAAUCUAUACAAGGUGUGUAGCUGAAAAUAUCUUUCAAUGAGGCCAAAGGUUUGAAGCUGUCAAAUGACUUAUUAACUUUUCGCAGUCAUGCAGCACAUGGGAAGGGCAUAAAGUUAAUGUUUGUUUUAGGGGAUUAUAGCAGGGAGGAAUAGAAGGGUUACGUUGCCAGAAAAACAAACUAAAUUUUUUCGCAGAUAAAAAUACUGUGGUUGAAAACAGGAGCCAAGGAACAUGCUAAUUAGAAACACUUGAUAAAAACUAAAUUAUUAAACAAGCUAGAAGAGAAGACUAAGAUAAAAGUAACUAAGUGGGAGAAUGGUUAUUUCCUUCCAUUAGAGUUUUGUAAGAAUGAGCUCCAAUUUUAUAUAAGAUACAAUUAGAUUCAGUGAUUACUCACAUUAGUACAAUAAGAAAUUUGACUCAGUAGUGCAAGUAAGCCAUACAGUUAAUUAUUCAUUUUAUGUUUUUAUUUGGCUUUGGAAUGUGUUUUUUGUACUUAUCUCUCUAGGGCUUUAUUUGAUAGUCUGGGAACUUAUUUCAAACACUGAGAAGAUCUGACUCAGGAAAUGCUGGGACGCAGUCCAGUGUGUUUAUCCUGACCCCUGUUCAACUUUUUCCUGCAGUCCACUCCAUGCUGGGACUAGACAACUCUCCUCUGAGGCUGAGGCUAACCAGACUAUGCAGCACCCUCUUCUCUCCACAAUUCUCUGGAACUGGGGUAGUUGUUAAGUGCUUGGAUUUCCAAAGGAUCCUUGAAAAGCUACUUUAAAAAAGAAUAAAUAGAUGGCCUAUUAGUCAAGCAAAUAAUUGG